CUUUCUCCUGCUCUCGCAUAUAAUACAAGACUUCAUCUCUCCCUCAUGUUUUUCAGAAGUGUUUGUCACCCCACGCUGUAUCAACAUGGCUGUAGUUGCUUCCCAUGCAAGCUGCUCCUUCCUUUCUGAAGUCUUGGGGGAGUUAGGAGACUGGCCGGCGACUUCCUCCACCCUCUCCCUGGCUUUGGAUCCCUGGAGAUUCCCCAGUGACCUCACUGUCCUGGCAGUCAUUAGCCACUCCGAAACCUCUUCAGUCCCCGUGGUGGCCCGGUGCCAGGCUUUAUCCACACAAAUGCCUCACCCCAGGAGAGAGGGGGAAAAGAAACAGAUUCAGUCCAGUUCAAUUGUUCACUAAAGGAGACCGUUGCCACGGUGAUGUGUCAAGAACAGUAACCAAGCUAAUUUUACCCCCACUUGACCUGGCCGCCCAUCUCCCGCUGCCACCCAGAGAGAACUCACAACACACCAAGCUGGCGGCCCCCCAGCACGGCAGCCCAGCCCAGCCCUGGUUCAGCCUGGCCGCUGGAGGGUACUCACCCAGCGAAGUCCCUGGAUGCAGCUGGGCCGCCUGUGCUCGAACACCAGCUGGUAGGAGCAGCACCGCGGACGGUGCAUUCUCUUCAGCACCAUAUCGAGCAGCGUGCCCUCGGGGACCACGUCAGGGAGACUUCCCACCGGCGGUGUCCCCACCGCGGGACUCUCCACCACAGCCGGGCCCACCUGCCAGUGGUUCUCACCUGGCCAGCUGACCUGCGAGCUCACACAGCGGUGCACGCUCUUAGCAAGAGGCUGGAGGAUCCCUGGCGCGCUCCAGCACAGCUCUGCCCCGGGAAUCCUGGAGGGGUGUGGGUGCCAGCGACACCCGGGCCAGUUCCCAGCAGGACAGGUCGUCCGGAGUAGCAAGACGCCGGGCUAGGCAGAGGGGCUCGUCCAGGGCUGGACUUCAGAGGACCACGCCUCUCACCCCCCAGUGCUCCCCUAUGCCGGGCUAGGUAAAGGCAGAGGCCCCACACCCUCUGGGUCUCACUUCCACCGACACACAGAUGGCGAGCACUUCGCCUCACUCACGCCUGCUUCCGAGUGGACAGAGAAUGUGACCUGGGACAGCGAUUUCCGUGACGCCUGUGACAAUCCUAUCCAGGCUGUCUGGCCCUGCUUCACCCCCAGGAUGGCCUGCGUAUGCUCUCUCGGCCAUAUUGUCAUUAUCGAGACCGCAAUGCCUUGUGAGCAGGAUUCAGAAGCACCUGAGGACAAACCUCUGGGCACCUUUGAAGGUGUCUUUAGAGAUAAGACCCACUGUGAAUGAGGGCAGCACCGUCCCCGAAGACCAGGGUCCCUCCGUGAACGAAAAGGCCAAAGUGAGCUGAGCUCCACGUUCACCCUUCCUGGCUGCCAGUGCGAAGUGACCAGCUAAUGCUCCUGUCACCGCGCCUUCUCCUUGAUGGCCUGGACCUUCACACUGUGAUUCAAACUCUUUUUCUCAGGUUGCCUUUGUUUGCCACGAGAGAAGUACUGAACACACAGGAAGCAGCCGAAGAAAGACAUUCAAAUGGGCAACAAUGACUGUCCCAAACUUAUUGGCCCCAUCCUGCCCUCAUCCUCUCCGUCCUAGGAAGCCACAAUGCUGGUUUUUGGGCUUACCUCGUCACUGCUGGCCAGAGCCACCCAAAGGAUUAGAUGUCCCUUCUUAGCGGGAGUCAGGUUUCCUGCCGCCUGCCAGUGCUGUGGGUCUUCUCGGGAUUGAGGGGUGGGACCUAGCCAGUGCAAUUACUGCUCAUUAGAUGUUCCAUUGAGGCUGAGACCCAGAGGGUCUGGGGAUGGGGAAGGAUGUCUGAAGAAGACACCCAGGCCAGAUGGCUCAUCUUGGAGGUGAUCAUGCCGUGUCCUGUGGCAGUAUCCACCCUCCCCAGCUGUCAUUACAUGCCCGGCAGGUGUCUUGGACAGAUAAAUAAUAAUUAGAGUUAGCAUGCACUAGGCCCUCCCUGUUCUUAAUACUUCAUAUACAUCCACCUAAUUGUCCUGUGAAAUGGCAUUAUCAUUGUCCCAUUUUUCAGAUGGGGAAGCUGAGGCUCCAAGAUGUUAAAUAAUGUGCUCAAGGUCUUCCAACUGGAGAGCAGUAGGGCACUGAGUGAUUCUACCCAAGGGGUCACUGAAUCUGUGCAGUCCGACUUUAAAGAUGAGAAUGCCCUAGGCCUUCUGGCUCUGGUGCUCAGAGAGGAACAGACAGGUGAUGUGAGUGAGAGGCACAUCAAAUCCACUUGAUAACAGGCUGUCCCUUCAGUGAGCUUCAGCCUGAAUACAGAUCCCCUAGGACCCUGUCUGUCUCUUGAGGUGAAUGGUAGCUCUCCUGGGGACUGGGCAUGGAGGUGGGGUUGCUGAAGGAGGCUCUGAGAACCGGGCUCUGACUCUAGACUGUGUCUCUUCCCACAAGGCCUCUUAGCUGACUUUGCACACACUGAGCCCACAGCUUCCUGGAUUUGUGCUGGAGCCUCAAAACUCCACGUGUCCAGCACUCCCUUCCUGCCCCAGGGGGCUCCUCCCCCUGCUUGGGCCUCUCAGCUCCUGGAGUCCUGCCACUGUCUAAGCAAGAAACCUGUAAGGUAGCGCCCUUCUCCUCCAGCCAAUCAGGCACCUGGGUGGUUGGUUCAACCAAUAGCACGCCUCUCCUUUCCCCAGGGCGGCUGCUCCAGCCCAGUGGUGGUCUCAGCAGUUACUGUGGGCAGCCCACUCAUCUUAGUGGUAGCUCUCGUAAAUGCCAUUUUCUUUCCCGUACAGCUUUUAUUUGCAAGUAAGGGAAGUGGAGCACAGAGAGGUGAAGAAAUGUGCUGAAGGUUAGCCUGAUGGCAAAUUGUAGGGCCACCCUUGGGUGUGUAUUCAACACCUUCCCCCCCACACCCCCCGGCACGUGCGCUUGAUGGCGAUGGUACCCCUGCCUCGCCUCCCUCAUCCUUCAGUGUCGUCCCUCAGGGUCAUUAAUAAAAAUCUCGAAUCCAUUUGACAUUUACCACAGUUGCCAGGAAUGGUGCUGUAAGACUGGGUAGCAGAUGCCACCCCCAAUCGCUGGGAACAGGCUGGUGGGCUAGCCCAGUUGAUAGAGCGCUUGCCCAGCAUGCACAGAGCUCUGGACUCCAGCACCAGCACCGAAUGCAUGAGUUGUGGUACAUGCCUAUAAUCCCAGCACUGGGGAAGUGGAGGAGGCAAGAGAAUAAAGGAUCCAAAGUUGUCAUCAGCUACAUAGCAAGUUCAAGGCCAGCCUGGACUACCAGAGACCCUGCCUCAGAGAGAGAGACAGACAGACAAAAAAAAAAAAAAAAAAAAAAAAAAAAAAAAAACCAACCAACCAACCAAGGCUUUGGGAACAUAAAGUCCAGUGGGGUUAUCCUUUCAUCUCCCUCCCACACUAAUCUGAUCAGUCUCCCUAAUCAGCAUAGUAUCUGGAAUAAAGAAUUGCUCGCUUUGCUUCGUGA